rnacentral:lncRNA from 1 species
AUGCAUUUGGGUUACUCCAUUCACUACAACUAACAUUAAUUGAUGACAAAAAUAAGAAGCAUCAGCCAUAUUCUCAAUCAAUUUUGAAGAUCCAUUUUCAUAUUUUACUCAACUCAUCAACAAAGCAAACAAAAACUAACAUGCACUAAAAGUUCUUCAUACAUACCUCAUCUGUGGCUUGGAAAAAGUAAGGUAUUAACUGGUAGCCCAUGAAACUCACUGGUCGGUACUCUCUGACCUCGCGGCCUUAAAUCGUUCAUCGCCCGUAUUGGAGUCCUCAACUUCACCGUCAUGGUCCUCAAUUUAUGGGCAAAGUGCUUGAUGAAAGUAUAAGAGAGAAAUUGAAAUAGAUUUUAAGCUUGGUUGCUUCGGCUUUGGCAGAGGAAAGAGAUGAUAACUUUUCAUUUUGUAUUAAUAUUUGUUGAGUAAAAGCAUGUUUACAAGGUAUAAAAGCAUGUUUCAAUUUAUUACCC